rnacentral:lncRNA from 1 species
GGAAAAUAGUGCAUCAAGAGCUGUCUCAUUAAUGUAGCAAAAAAGCAAAAAAAAAGAAAUCUCCAAUCUUUACACUAGUGUAUAGUUAAAUUUUUUAAGUAUUUAAAAACUAUAUUUUAUUAAGAAAAAAGGGAAACUAUUUUUUGUAGCGUAAUAAAAGAAGUUUGUAUUUCAGAGACAGCAUCAAGCCCCACUGAUUGACACAAGGAAAGCUUUCUCCCGAAAUUCUUCUUCACACGUUCUGGCACUCGCCACACACUAAGCUGGAUUAGGUGUUAUGCAUCUCCAUGGUGUUUGGCAGAUAACCAUCUCGAGCAUCUUAGGUGUUCCUGCUCUGGGAAGCAUACAGCAUAGCUUGCUGCUUCCCAUCAAAAUCCGUGGUCCAAGCUCUCUUUCCAGUGCACGGCUGAGUAUUUUUAAAAGGUUUCUUGCUUAGGUGACUGUGAUGACAUCAAAGUGACAAGGUCGUGCAGAUUUCCUUGCAAGUUUUUUGGGAUCUAAAGCCAGGAAUAGAGGAAGACAGUUGACUGUUUUCAUGUUUUAAAGAAGAGAAAACGCCAUACUCAGCUUUUCUUGCAUUCUACCAUUCCAGACCAUUCCUCUCUCUUCCCCAGAUGCCCUACUCCAAUAGAUUUUCAAACGCUGGCAUCAUCUCUAGGAUAUCCGGAUUGAUGCUCCACAGUGCUUUUCUCCAUUCAUUGCAUCAUACCAUGGGCAGAAUCAGGCCCCAGUCUGGAGUGAAGGGAAGCCGUGCAUCUAAGUGUCACCGCAGUGUUAGAGUAAUGUGAGGCAGCGAAUGGUGCUAACAGGAGAAAGGGAGGAGCCCUCUCUCCCUUGACCUGCUAUUUAACCUGCCCAUUAUGCAACUAAUUGGCUUUGUUGUUGUUAUGCAUAUGCAAGGCAUAUACCCUUCCUUGUUCAGCUUUCAAUUCAAAUGCUGUUACUCAUUUAAUCAUCUGUGCCCUCCCCAGGUCUGCAUUUUCAUUUGUAAAGCACUGACUGUUAAUUACAGAAUUUCUUGUUUCAUUGUUUUCCUACAGGAAAGUCUGGAAGAUAUUCCAUAGCGCAGAUUUGCAGUAAAAUAACCUGUUCAGCUCAGUUCCCUUUAAACGUGGUGGUGGCUAGAUUAAGAAAAAACAUCAACAUCAAUAGAUUUUAAAAUGCAAGUGAAAAAUGGAAUAGGCAAACUGACAGCUUUUGUGAAUUUCAGUUUUUGAUAGGAGCAAUCAAUAUUGGUAAGUUGUAUAUUUGGUUUCAGAGGGUCCAUAUCUUUCUCAAGGUGACUGUUGUAAUGGCAUUAAGAGUUGAGGGAGGGAAAAGGAUAGUUCUCUUUAUGAAAUCCUGUUGCCAUACUAGCAUUAAGCUGAAGGUAUGAGAAUGAAAAUAGGUAUUUUAAAUCAGUGGCAGCUCUUCCACCUUGACGUAGUCUCACUGUCUGUUCAACCCCAUAAGCUAUGCAGGAUUUGAUCCAGUACAACCAACCGAACCUUACUGUUAAUUGCGUCAGGUCUAAGCCUCACAGAUGCUGUCACUUCAGUCUGCAGUAUGUUCUGUGAGCGCUCCGUUUCAAUCACAUGGCUGCACAUAUUCAGAACUUGACUUUUAUGUUCCAGGGACAUCCGUGGCUAUCACAAGGCAAGAAGUGAGUGGUCCAAAGUACAUCUAACAGAGAAAUCAUGAGUUCUGUACAGGUCUGACCACAGAGGACUUUUUUCACCCAGUUUGCUCAAGUGCCCGUGAACUGUAGCUAAGGUUUGAGUUCGUAGUCUAGUCUGAGAGACAGCCUGUGGGGAGGGGGCGUGUUUGUUGGGUUUGUAUUUUGUUGUUCUAGUUUCACUGUAACAAAUAGUUGACAUACCUCUAGUUGAAAACAGUAAGAUACUGAAUUUGGACAUGAAAAUCAAAUAAGAAAUAGGCUAAAAUAUACACGCACAGAGGAUGAGUUAAGCUCAUCCUUCACUGUUAAUCCUGUGACAGUCUAUGGAAUUCCAGAAGGAUGGAUUUGGCUGGAGAUUUGUUUAAUUUGUGUUGAAAGAAUCAUUAUUUGCCCUGUCUCCAUAGUGAUAUUAAUAGGCCUUCCCAGUCAAGAUUAAACACUUUCAGUCCAAUGCAGACCAACAGAUCUUUCUACGACAAAUGCGGUGCUUUUUGAUUAUUAUUCUUGCUGUACCUCAGUGUUCAUUAUUAAAAGAAAAAAAAAAUGACUGCAAUAUACUAAAUCUGGGAUAGGUUUUCCCGUUAUCACAAGGUCCAAAAGAUUGGAUUGUUACUUUCUCUCUAGUGAGUCAUGUAGUUCCUUUGUUCUAGUAGAAAAACAGAUGCCUGUAGAUAGUAGAUACUAGGUAUAGUAAAUAUUGUUACCAUUAGCCAAAUUCCCUGCAGCUUCCGAUUUAUCUAACAGAGAUGUCUGUUAAGGUUUUUGUUAAAGACUACAUAAAGUCAAUGGCAGGAAAGGUCCUCAUUAUUGGACUGAUUUUGCUUCUAUUGACAGAAAAAUGUCACAUGAUACUCAGGCUGUGCUUUCUAUUCAACCAUAUCAUUAUAGAGGAAUGUCAAUAAAAUCACUUUGUUAUG